rnacentral:rRNA from 1 species
UACGAAGGUUGCAAGCGUUACUCGGAAUUACUAGGCGUAAAGGGCAGGUAGGUGGUUGGUAAGUCUAUUGUGAAAGCUCCUGGCUUAACUGGGAGAGGCCAAUGGAUACUGCCAAGCUUGAGUAUAGGAGAGGUUACUGGAAUUCCCGGUGUAGCGGUGAAAUGCGCAGAUAUCGGGAGGAACACCAAUGGCGAAAGCAGGUAACUGGACUAUUACUGACACUCAACUGCGAAAGCUAGGGAGCAACAGG